CAAGUCGAGCGAACCUAGCUUGCUAGGUGAGCGGCGAACGGGUGAGUAACGCGUAGGAAUCUGCCCGAUAGUGGGGGACAACGUUCCGAAAGGGACGCUAAUACCGCAUACGCCCUACGGGGGAAAGCAGGGGAUCUUCGGACCUUGCGCUAUCGGAUGAGCCUGCGUCGGAUUAGCUAGUUGGCGGGGUAAAGGCCCACCAAGGCGACGAUCCGUAGCUGGUCUGAGAGGAUGAUCAGCCACACCGGAACUGAGACACGGUCCGGACUCCUACGGGAGGCAGCAGUGGGGAAUAUUGGACAAUGGGGGCAACCCUGAUCCAGCCAUGCCGCGUGUGUGAAGAAGGCCUUCGGGUUGUAAAGCACUUUAAGGGGGGAGGAAGGUUCGUUGGCUAAUACCCAGCGGAAUUGACGCUACCCCCAGAAUAAGCACCGGCUAACUCCGUGCCAGCAGCCGCGGUAAUACGGAGGGUGCAAGCGUUAAUCGGAAUUACUGGGCGUAAAGCGCGCGUAGGCGGCUGGGUAAGUCGAUUGUGAAAUCCCCGGGCUCAACCUGGGAAUUGCAGUCGAGACUGCCCGGCUAGAGUGUGGGAGAGGGUGGUGGAAUUCCCGGUGUAGCGGUGAAAUGCGUAGAUAUCGGGAGGAACAUCAGUGGCGAAGGCGACCGCCUGGCCCAACACUGACGCUGAGGUGCGAAAGCGUGGGUAGCAAACAGGAUUAGAUACCCUGGUAGUCCACGCCGUAAACGAUGUCGACUAGCCGUUGGAGACCUUAGAGUCUUUAGUGGCGCAGCUAACGCACUAAGUCGACCGCCUGGGGAGUACGGCCGCAAGGUUAAAAACUCAAAUGAAUUGACGGGGGCCCGCACAAGCGGUGGA
rnacentral:rRNA from 1 species